rnacentral:rRNA from 1 species
GACGAACGCUGGCGGCGUGCUUAACACAUGCAAGUCGAACGGAAAGGCCCUGCUUUUGUGGGGUGCUCGAGUGGCGAACGGGUGAGUAACACGUGAGUAACCUGCCCUUGACUUUGGGAUAACUUCAGGAAACUGGGGCUAAUACCGGAUAGGAGCUCCUGCUGCAUGGUGGGGGUUGGAAAGUUUCGGCGGUUGGGGAUGGACUCGCGGCUUAUCAGCUUGUUGGUGGGGUAGUGGCUUACCAAGGCUUUGACGGGUAGCCGGCCUGAGAGGGUGACCGGACAAAUUGGGACUGAGAUACGGCCCAGACUCCUACGGGAGGAAGCAGUGGGGAAUAUUGCACAAUGGGCGGAAGCCUGAUGCAGCAACGCCGCGUGCGGGAUGACGGCCUUCGGGUUGUAAACCGCUUUCGCCUGUGACGAAGCGUGAGUGACGGUAAUGGGUAAAGAAGCACCGGCUAACUACGUG